rnacentral:rRNA from 1 species
UACGUAGGGGGCUAGCGUUGUCCGGAUUUAUUGGGCGUAAAGAGCGUGUAGGCGGCCAUGUAGGUCCGGUGUGAAAACUCGAGGCUUAACCUCGAGAUGUCAUCGGAAACCAUUUGGCUAGAGUCCGGAAGAGGAGAGUGGAAUUCCUGGUGUAGCGGUGAAAUGCGCAGAUAUACAGGAGGAACACCAAUGGCGAAGGCAGCACUCUGGGGACGUGAACUGGACGCUG